CUAAUUAUUACCAUCAUUCCAUAGGAAUGGUGGGUUUUUGAUGCGCUUAUAAUUUAUCAAACCCGCCGAAGAGGCGGGUUUU
rnacentral:sRNA from 1 species